AAAUUGAAGAGUUUGAUCAUGGCUCAGAUUGAACGCUGGCGGCAGGCCUAACACAUGCAAGUCGAACGGUAGCACAGAGGAGCUUGCUCCUUGGGUGACGAGUGGCGGACGGGUGAGUAAUGUCUGGGAAACUGCCCGAUGGAGGGGGAUAACUACUGGAAACGGUAGCUAAUACCGCAUAACGUCGCAAGACCAAAGAGGGGGACCUUCGGGCCUCUUGCCAUCGGAUGUGCCCAGAUGGGAUUAGCUAGUAGGUGGGGUAACGGCUCACCUAGGCGACGAUCCCUAGCUGGUCUGAGAGGAUGACCAGCCACACUGGAACUGAGACACGGUCCAGACUCCUA
rnacentral:rRNA from 1 species